GACGAACGCUGGCGGCGUGCUUAACACAUGCAAGUCGAACGGAAAGGCCCUGCUUUUGUGGGGUGCUCGAGUGGCGAACGGGUGAGUAACACGUGAGUAACCUGCCCUUGACUUUGGGAUAACUUCAGGAAACUGGGGCUAAUACCGGAUAGGAGCUCCUGCUGCAUGGUGGGGGUUGGAAAGUUUCGGCGGUUGGGGAUGGACUCGCGGCUUAUCGGCUUGUUGGUGUGGUAGUGGCUUACCAAGGCUUUGACGGGUAGCAGGCCUGAGAGGGUGACCGGCCACAUUGGGACUGAGAGAGGGACCAGAAGCGUACGGGAGGCAGCAGUGGGGAAUAUGGCGCAGCGGGCGGAAGCGUGAGGCAGAAACGCUGCGUGCGGGAUGACGGGUUAUGGGUUGUAAACAGAUGUCGCCGGAGACGAAGAGAGAGUGACGGUAAUGAGUAAAGAAGCAACGGCUAACUACGUG
rnacentral:rRNA from 1 species